rnacentral:rRNA from 1 species
UACGUUGGGUGCGAGCGUUAAUCGGAAUUACUGGGCGUAAAGCGUGCGCAGGCGGCUUUGCAAGACAGAUGUGAAAUCCCCGGGCUCAACCUGGGAACUGCAUUUGUGACUGCAAGGCUAGAGUAUGGCAGAGGGGGAUGGAAUUCCGCGUGUAGCAGUGAAAUGCGUAGAUAUGCGGAGGAACACCAAUGGCGAAGGCAAUCCCCUGGGCCUGUACUGACGCUCAUGCACGAAAGCGUGGGGAGCAAACAGG